AGCCUGGCUCUUCCUUUUACCAUUUCUCUCUCCUGGGUCCCUCUCUAACUGCUUUCCAUUUCUCCGCAGCCCUCACCAGGCACAACCUAUUCAUACUGUGCAUUUCCCUCUUGAAGUGAGCGACCCAAGAAUAGGCCCUUGCCUGAUGUCUUUGUGGAGGCCAUCUCACUUCUGGAACAAAGCUUGGCACCUACUAUUUGCAGAACAAGGCCAUACUGUCUGGGUGAGGCUCCACACCCUGCCACAGGGUCAGAGAAGCUCACUCUAAAUUCACUCUGAUUCAGAGACAGCUGAGCCAAUUCUUCAGGAGAGAAAGAAAAAAAAAUCUAUCCCUCUGGUGAGAAGGGUGUCUGAGCGAACCCAUAAUAUUCUGGCAAUGGAAGUAGGGGUGUGAAGCUUGGGACUUUUGGGAGCACUUACUACUAGGAAAGAAGCAACACAAAAAUUUAUCCAGCCCAGAGUUGGCUGCAAAGGAAGCUGUGAGGCUGUCCUGGCCUGAGCUAUGUGCCACCUUACUCCCUGGGAUUGCUGACAAUAGAAAUUUAACUCAGUGGUCAUUUGUAAUGAGUGCCAACUGAUG
rnacentral:lncRNA from 1 species